UAUUCAAAUAUUUAUUUUUUUUAAAUAUCACAGUCUCAGAUUCUACAUCAUCCAAUUAAUAACUCGUUUGCUUACAACUAUAUAUGAAAUCUAUAUCACAGUAUUGUUUCUGGUAAGUCAUGUUCGAUAAAUAUUUAACUAGCUAAUAUAUUUGAAGAUUAAGAUUAUUUUAAUCCUACUAAACCCCCCCCCCCCCCCCCCCCCCCCCCCCCAUUAACCAAAGAAUGAAAACACUGAUCAAGAAACAUUUUGAGUAAAUAAAAACUUAUUGUCGUACUGAUUCCCACACAGUGGAAUACCAUAGCCUUUGAAAAGAAUUAUUUAUUCAGUUCUGAUUUAUUAUAUGCAUGGAGUCAACUAUAAAUUUCAACUACUACAUACAUAAAAAGCAAAGGAAAUUGUGAGUUAUCUCCCUUUAAAGAUAUAGGAAUAUGUAUUAUCUCGCUUUGACAAUUAAAAAAUCUAGCAAAAUGCAGUCACAGAUAAAAAUGAGUAGUCUCUCCCCAUUCAGUAUAAUCCGAAUAAUGUCAGUCGUUAUAUUCCGCUGAUCUCCUUCUAAUCUCUGAUUUCUACAUUAAAUAGGCUAUAGGCCGCUAGAGGGGGCAGAAUUAUUUGAGUUACAUUAAGUACUAUAUGAAAAUAUUGUCUCCCUUUUUAAAACAAUUAAAAAGACAUGCAAGCUAAUCAAAAAUAAAUUAAUGAGUAGUCCCCCUUUAUAAUUAGAGUUACUCUCCCUUUAUAAGUACUGUAAAAACAAAUUGUCCCCCUUUAACAAAGAAAAAAGGCUCACAAACUGCCGUCACAAACAAAAUUCAUUGUCAUGAUGAUUUUGCUUAAUAUAUGUAUAAUAAAUGAUUGAUUUAUUAUAUGAUUUGGUUUAACUUCAGUUAUAAAAAAUACCAUAUAAUAAUAAUUAUGGAAAACAAAGCACAUAUGAAGCAAAAAAAUUAUAAGAACUUAUUAUCAUAUCUUUUCAUUUCCCUUGAAAUGAACAUUAUAUAAUUAAUUAAUUAAUUUUAAUAAACUACAAAAAAAAUCAGAAACUGAUUCAGUUAUUUUAUCAAAUUAUUCAAAAAUUAAAAUUACAAAAAUUUGGAGCUCCAAUAACACUCCAGAAAAACUGAAACAAAGACAAAAAGAUUGAAGUCUGCAAUGCCAUGUGUAUUAGACUAUUAAAAAAAUUAAUCACACAAAAUAACAGACGUUUAAAAAAAAAGAAAGACAUUUCAAGAAACGUAACUAAAUGACUACAAUAACAAUUGAACACUACGUUUGAGACAUAGAAAAUAGACAAAGUUUAACAAAAGAACACAAUUAUAGCGAGGUCUCUAGAUUGAAUGGAUUAAUUGUCAAACCCUGGAUAAAAUGAUAAAACAAUUCUGCAAGACAAAUUUACUAAAAGAUGUCAGGUAUUGUUGUAUGUCUAAUCUGGCAUUUUUUAAGAUAUCAAAUUCUAUUGUUAACUUUCACCCAAUCUUCCACAAUGCCCCCCCCCCCCCCCUCCUAUAGAAAAACACUUUUUUAAUUGUAAAGGAUAAAAGGAUUUAAUAAAAAGAAAGUUUAAAGAGUAUAUUUUACAGCGUAAAACAAAAUUGAUUGAGAUUAAAACUUUCAUGCCACUUGAGACGGCCCAAAGAGUAAAGGAUUUGUUUCUCUUGUAUCUUUUCUCUUGCUUAGACUACAUCUUUUGAACUCUUAAAAGAGCAGAAUAUUAAUAUAAAAAAAAAUAUAAAAAAAAUAUAAGGAAAAUGAAAUAUGCAUUGUGUAAAUGGUAAACAGGCUUGUGAAAAUUAAACUUAUAACAACAUAGAAACAUAACAUAUAACAAGAAUAAAAAAUAUGAACACUACAGAUACAGAAUACAAUGGUAUAAAGAAAAACAAAUUACCAUGGAAACACAUACAGCUUAGCAGUUAGCAAGUUUAAUUUGAGAGGCCCCUCAUGGGGGUGUCCAAGUAAUCACACAAUCAAAAAUUAUUUUUUUAAAAAGAUAAUCAAAUAAUAAAAAAUACAGCCCUAGAUUAUCAAAUAAUCACGAAAUAUUUAGGCUGGUAAUCAAAUAAUCAAAUAAU
rnacentral:lncRNA from 1 species